rnacentral:rRNA from 1 species
CCUACGGGGGGCUGCAGUGGGGAAUAUUGGACAAUGGGGGGAACCCUGAUCCAGCCAUGCCGCGUGUGUGAAGAAGGCCCUCGGGUUGUAAAGCACUUUCAGUGAGGAAGAACGCCUGGUGGUUAAUACCCAUCAGGAAAGACAUCACUCACAGAAGAAGCACCGGCUAACUCCGUGCCAGCAGCCGCGGUAAUACGGAGGGGGCGAGCGUUAAUCGGAAUUACUGGGCGUAAAGCGCGCGUAGGUGGCUUGAUAAGCCGGUUGUGAAAGCCCCGGGCUCAACCUGGGAACGGCAUCCGGAACUGUCAAGCUAGAGUGCAGGAGAGGAAGGUAGAAUUCCCGGUGUAGCGGUGAAAUGCGUAGAGAUCGGGAGGAAUACCAGUGGCGAAGGCGGCCUUCUGGACUGACACUGACACUGAGGUGCGAAAGCGUGGGUAGCAAACAGGAUUAGAUACCCUAGUAGUC